rnacentral:tRNA from 1 species
CAGCAAAUAGUUUAAUAAAAAUAUUAAUUUUGGGGAUUAAAGAUGAGUUGUACUUUUUGCUGA